rnacentral:rRNA from 2 species
GCCUAGCCGUAAACUUUAAAUUACACCUACAUCGCCCGAGAACUACGAGCAAAGCUUAAAACUCAAAGGACUUGACGGUACCCCAUAUCCCCCUAGAGGAGCCUGUCCUAUAAUCGAUAACCCCCGUUUAACCUCACCAUUUUUAGCCAAUCAGCCUGUAUACCUCCGUCGUCAGCUUACCACGUGAGCGAAACUCAGUGAGCUUAAUGCCUUUACACCAAUACGUCAGGUCAAGGUGCAGCAAAUGAAAUGGAAAGAGAUGGGCUACACUUUCUAAUAUAGAAAACACGAAAGACUUUAUGAAAUCUAGUCGGAAGGCGGAUUUAGCAGUAAAAAGAAAUCAGAAUAUUCUUUUUAACACGGCACUGGGGUGUGUACACACCGCCCGUCACCCUCUUCAUAAGCCAAGAAAAGUAUCUAACUAAUUAACGCAUAAUAGAAGAGGCAAGUCGUAACAUGGUAAGUAUACCGGAAGGUGUGCUUGGAAA